UCGACUACUUUAUAAAAUGGCGUGACGUUUGUUAUGUUUCAGUGAAUUUAAAACAUUAAAACAAAUAAUUAAACCAAUUUCUUGCUGUAUGAUACUCGCUAUGAAAAGUGGGGAGACAUAAGACAUUCCAUAGUUACGAGGUGUUUAAAAUCAUCUCGAGGAAGAAGGAGGAGAAAGAAAAAGAAGGCGAAGAAGAAGAAAAAGAAGACGACGACGACGAUGACGAAGACGAAGAAAAAGGAGGUGGGCAAGACUUUACAUUAAACCAUGGCGUGCGACGACUGCACAUCUUGGUUCCACGUCGGAUUUAUGAAGAUGGCAACGGCUGUUAUCCUUCUUUCAUCCUAUUGGAUGUGUCAAGGAUCUGGUGUGGCUAAAGGGUACCUAACUUUGCCACUCAACAUCAGUGUUUUCUCCUUUCCCAGUCUGCUCAUUGUCUGAUACUUCACAUAUCACCAUUGGUUAUGAAGACUUGUGUGUUGGGUGGCCAGGUAUUGAGCAAGGCAUAUCAGAGAGAGAAGAGGAAUAAUUGGUGCCAAGGUGCUAGGUCAUGAAGCUGGGAUUGGAGCAUGCUAAUUUUUUGGACAGGAGACCCGGGACAGGAGAGGAGACUCACGACAGGAGAGGAGCCCAGGACAGGACAGGAGACCCACGACAGGAGAGGAGCCCAGGACAGGACAGGAGACCCACGACAGGAGAGGAGCCCAGGACAAGACACGAGCAACCAACUACCAUUUAUUGAGAAGCUGCAAACACUGCCACUCCUGAGUACUAGCGCGUGCCCACUUAUGUACGAGGUUUUCGUCAGGCUGACAGAAGUUGUAAGUGUGUAAAUCAUUGAUGCUAGAACUGUUGUAUAAAUGCACAUUGUGUAAAACGUCAAGUUGUCUAGCUACCGUGUGUACAUCGUUACUCU